CGUACACUACACCAAAUUAAACAAUCCUUCAUGCCAAAAAUUUCCCACCAUCGAUAAAGACCGAAAGCUCUCCUCCACCCCCAAACGAACCCUAACCCGAAGUCCUUCUCUAUUGCAAAAUCCACCAACAACACGAAGCUCUCCGGAAUCAUACCCCUGCGAGCGAAAAUUGGCGAGAGGUCUUUUGUGACUGCUUUUUGUCUCUUCUAACUCGUUUAAAAUCAUAUUUGAACAACAUCAAUUGAGUGGAACGGCCAAAAAGGAAUUCAAAGUUGUGAUUCCGAAUCGAUUUAGAAGAAGCAAAAAGGAAUGGGGAAUGUCCAUUGACGAAGAAACAGGAACUUGAAUCAUCAAAGAAGAAGAGAUCUGAAACAAGGGAACUCAUUUGGAGUUGAGCCAAAAGAUUCCGCUAAAGAAUACGAUGAGUUGAUUAGGUUGAAGUGUGAAGCUAAACUUAAGGGUGGAUUUUAUGUUGACCCUGAAGCUAUAUUCUUGGUAAUUAUCAUUGUUAUCAACCCAAAAUCAUGGAUUAUUUUGCAAUUAUAGGAAGAUAUGUUUUUUCUAACUCAAUGAAUUGGUUUUAUUUUUGAUGGGUGCUGAUUAGUAACUUCAUUGGCUGAUUGAGAAAUUUGUCAAGGUCUGUUUGUGUUAAAUUUUUAAUGUUAAAUAAAAUUAAAAUAGUAUGUUGGUUUAUAGAAGAACAUAUAUAUAUAUACACUUGUGAUUGUAUAUACAAGUGAGUGUUGUACUUGCAUCUCUUUGUUUUUGCAUGAGUUUUUGAGGUGCUGAGUUUUUCUACACAAAAUAUAUGUAUAGGAUGUGUGUUUGUGUCUACAUUUUCAUUAUGUCUAUUGUAUGAAUUAUAAAUUGUAGCUUUGAAACCUAUGUAUGGAACAAGAAUUUUGUGCUUGCUUAUGUCUACUACUUGAACUCCAAGGUGAUUGAAACAAUUAUCAAGUUUAAGGUGAUUGAAACAAUCAUGAUUUAGAUCUUACUUAUUUGAUUUUAUUUUGUAGAUAUGGAGUUUUCACGUUGUCCACAACCCAAGUUACCAUUUCCACUUUUAUCUGCUACCUCUAAGGGAGAACCAAAGGUUUCACUAGUUAAUGACAAAAUGAUGAAUAUAAAAGAAAUAGCAGAUGAGAGAAAGGUUGUCUCUGCUACACAACAUGUAUCUUAGCAAGUAAUGAUCCUUAGAGUUGCUGAUGGAACAUUUAGUUUACAUGGGAAAUACAUGCGGGAUUAUAUGAUUGCAGCAGCAGGCAUUCCAUAUCAUCUAGUACAAUUGUCUCUAAAAAGGAUAUUGUGUUUUGAAGGCUGACUGACUUUAGUUGGUAUGCAAGGAUAAUAGGAUAUCACACCUAGGUAUUCAAUAUCAACUACUUGUUUAAGGUUUGAUUAUUUGAGCAUGAAAUCAUGUUAGUAGAAUAACAUUAGUUUAAUGUCUAAACAAGGAUAUGAGUGAUUGUGAAUUUUUUACUUCCUUUGCAUUCAUGUCACUACAUAUAUUGUUUUUGAAUAUGACUUCAAGUUUUGGCAAUAAUGCAUCAACGUAAGGUGAUUUUCCGCCUCCAAAUCCAUGCUACACAUGUAAGUUUUCUCUUCAGUACGUAAGUCAUUUCGUAAAUCUAAUUGUUUAUUGUUCUAUACAUAAAGCACUAUUAAAGAAAAUUUGUUGACUAGCUUGAUUGACAUUGCUUUGUUUUCUUGGCAUAAUUAUUGAAAACAACAAAAACUAUGCUUGAGACCCACAUAUUUUAAAUUUUGCAGGCUGAUGGAAGUUACAUAUUUAGCUUAGACAUUCUUCCGAAGCUUUGUCAAUUAGCUCAAGAACAUGUCAAGAGCAUGAGAGAAUGAUAAUGUCAAUGAAGGAGGGGAUAGUAACAACAAUUUAGAGAUUUGGAAAGUAUUAGAUUCAUUAUUAUAUUAUUUUUUUUAGGUAAUGGAUAGUUUUACUUUGAUUGGUUCAGUUAUUUGCAAAUUAUAUUUAUGUAUUUUUGAGAGUACUUUUCUCUUGUAUGAGACAUUAUUCUCUUGAAUGAGACAUUAUUAUGUUGAUCAAAAUUUGCAAACUAUAUUU